CGCUGUGGGCUCGGAAGGCUCGCGGGCCUGGGCGGGUCACGGCGGCUCCGGGGGUGGGGGGGUGUCAGUGAGUGAAGGGCGGAGCCCACGGUCUCCCUGCCCGGGCGCCUCCUUACUGGACCAGGAGAGCCGAGUGUCCGCGGCAGGGACGCUCGCUCGGCAGCCCUCGGCGCGGCUCCAGGGGCGGCAGAGGUCGCGGAAGGCGGAAAGGUGCGGAACCGAGUGGAGGGGCGUCACGGAGAGGCCUGUCUGCGUGGUACCGGGGGACCCUGAGCUCCAGCUGCAAACAUCGUGGUUGUUCCAGCAGCAGUUUUCACUCACGCGGCUUUGUCCUUUGUUCUCCAAGCUCACUCUUCGUCCCCCAGGGAGUUGAGGGUAGAGCAGUAGAGCUGCCGACCCGUUGUGAAACUCCACAGCCCCUUCUCAUGUGUCCGGGCUGCAGGUGCUGAGAGCCGAAAGCAGCACAUUCUCAGGUGAGGCAGAGCAAUGCUGGUCUCCACGCCCGAGGGCUGGGCUCUUUGUGGCAGCAACGGGCAGAAUGACCUGUACACAGCCUUCGUGAGUCGUUGGUUUUGUCCCGGCUCUGCUCAGUGCCUCUGCGGUGCUGAGCAGCGGAUGCCCAUGCCUUCUGUCCACCAGGAAAUGCCCUGGGGACCAUGAGCGCAUCGGAGUGACAGCUCCCUUGGCAUUGAUUUUUUCCCACCUCAAUUAAAAUAUGCAGUAAGGCCUUGGGUUCUCUCAGACUCUUCUGUUUCCACAAAUAGUGGCUGCUGAGGUGACUCAGAGAAUACAGGGUCUCAGAUGGGAGUCGUGGGACUUCGGGAACUGAGUAAGAAGAAAAUGAAAGGGGGCGUGUGCCCUGGGAACAGCGCGCCUGAGUGUGGACAGCAGUGAUUCCCUGAGCGGCCUCACUGGCCCUGUGCCUUGACAUUG
rnacentral:lncRNA from 1 species